rnacentral:rRNA from 1 species
UACGUAGGGACCGAGCGUUGUCCGGAAUCAUUGGGCGUAAAGAGCGUGUAGGCGGCUAUUUAAGUCCUGCGUGAAAUCCUGCGGCUCAACCGCAGACGGUCGUGGGAAACUGGAUGGCUAGAGUGCGGGAGAGGAGAGUGGAAUUCCCGGUGUAGCGGUGAAAUGCGCAGAUAUCGGGAAGAACACCCGUGGCGAAGGCGGCUCUCUGGAACGCAACUGACACUGAGACGCGAAAGCGUGGGGAGCAAACAGG